GGUUAAGCUACUAAGGGCACAUGAUGGAUGCCUUGGUACCAGUAGGCGAUGAAGGACGUGUUAAGCUGCGAUAAGCCUCGGUUAGCUGCAAAAGAGCUUUGAACCGGGGAUUUCCGAAUGGGGAAACCCAACUGGAGUCAUGUCCAGUUACCGGUAACUGAAUACAUAGGUUAUCGGGGCGAUACCUAGGGAAGUGAAACAUCUCAGUACCUAGAGGAAAAGAAAUCAACCGAGAUUCCGCAAGUAGUGGCGAGCGAACGCGGAGGAGCCUAAACCGAAGUGUUUACAUUUCGGGGUUGCGGGACUUCGACAUGGUAUGUCUGAUUGUUAGUGGAAUGUUCUGGAAAGUUCAGCCAUAGAGGGUGAAAGCCCCGUAUAUGAAAACAAUCAGCAACCUAGAAGUAUCCCAAGUAGGUCGGAACACGUGAAACUCUGACUGAAUCCGGGGGGCCCACCCUCCAAGGCUAAAUACUAACUGGUGACCGAUAGUGAAUAGUACCGUGAGGGAAAGGUGAAAAAGCACCCUUGUUAAGGGAGUGAAAAGUACCUGAAAUCAUGUGCCUACAAAGUGUAGGAGCUCUUCGGAGUGACUGCAUGCCUUUUGCAUAAUGAGCCUGCGACUUACUCUACGUGGCGAGGUUAAGUUAAGAACGAAGCCGAAGCGAAAGCGAGUGUUAAUAGCGCGUCUAGUCGCGUGGAGUAGACCCGAAGCUAAGUGAUCUAACCAUGACCAGGUUGAACCUCCGGUAACACGGAGUGGAGGACCGAACCAGUACAUGUUGAAAAAUGUUUGGAUGAGUUGUGGUUAGGGGUGAAAGGCCAAUCAAACUUAGUGAUAGCUGGUUCUCUUCGAAAUAGCUUGAGGGCUAGCCUUGCACCAUAGCACACGGGGGUAGAGCACUGAUUGUUCGCGGGCCCUUACCAGGGUACCAACAACUAUCAAACUCCGAAUACCGUGUUGCCGUACUGCAGGAGUCAGACUGCGGGGGAUAAGCUCCGUAGUCGAAAGGGAAACAGCCCAGACCGCCGGUUAAGGUCCCUAAUUUGGACUUAGUGGUUUGAAGGAUGUGGAGCUGCGUAGACAGCCAGGAUGUUGGCUUAGAGGCAGCCACCAUUUAAAGAGUGCGUAAUAGCUCACUGGUCGAGUGGUUCUGCGCCGAAGAUGAUCGGGACUGAAGUCCAAAACCGAAACCGCGGAUCGUGAAUUUAUUCACGGUGGUAGAAGAGCGUUGUAUACGGGUUGAAGCCGAUGAGGAAUCGGAGGUGGACUGUAUACAAGUGACCAUGCAGGCAUGAGUAGCGAAAAACCAGGUGAGAAUCCUGGUCACCGAAAACCCAAGGUUUCCUCCGGAAGGUUCGUCCGCGGAGGGUUAGUCGGAACCUAAGGCGAGGCCGAAAGGCGUAGUCGAUGGACAACAGGUUAAUAUUCCUGUACCACCUUGUUUGAGCGAUGGAGGGACGCAGUAUGCUAGGCGAUCCAGCUGUUGAAUUAGCUGGUCUAAGAGCGUAGGGCGUGAUCCAGGUAAAUCCGGAUCACAUUAAGCCUGAGACUUGAUGGGUAGUUUCUUCGGAAACGAACUCGCUGAUGCUUUGCUGACGAGAAAAGCUUCUAAGCGUUGACAACAGGGUGUCCGUACCGUAAACCGACACAGGUAGGUAAGGCGAGAAGCCUAAGGUGCGCGAGAGAAACCACGUUAAGGAACUCGGCAAAUUAGCCCCGUAACUUCGGGAGAAGGGGUGCCAUCAUGGUGAAACGACUUGCUCGUGGAGCCUACGGUGGUUGCAACAAAGAGGCUGGUGCGACUGUUUACCAAAAACACAGCUCUCUGCUAACUCGUAAGAGGAUGUAUAGGGAGUGACACGUGACCAAUGCCAAAAGGUCAAGGGAAUGGGUUAGACUUCGGUCGAAGCUCUGAACUGAAGCCCUGGUGAAUGUCGGCCGUAACUAUAACGGUCCUAAGGUAGCGAAAUUCCUUGUCGGGUAAGUUCCGACCUGCACGAAUCGUGUAACGAUGCCAGCACUGUCUCAACGUGGAUCUCGGCGAAGUUGUAGUUCCGGUGAAAAUGCCGGAUACCUGCGGAAGGACGGAAAGACCCCAUGAACCUUUACUGUAAUCUGAUAUUGGUAUUUGGUUAUUCAUGUGUAGCAUAGGUGGGAGGCUGUGAAGCGGCUACGCCAGUACCCGUGGAGCCACAGGUGAAAUACCACCCUUGUGUAGUUGAAUAUCUAACUUCGAUCCCGUGAAACCGGGCGAAGGACAGUGUCAGAGGGUCAGUUUGACUGGGGCGGUUUCCUCCCAAAUUGUAACGGAGGAGCCCGAAGGUACACUCAACACGGUUGGCAAUCGUGUGUAGAGCGUAAGGGUAGAAGUGUGCUUUACUGUAAGACAGACAUGUCGAGCAGUUGCGAAAGCAGGGCCUAGUGAUCCAGCGAUGGAAUGUGGAAUCGUCGUUGCUCAACGGAUAAAAGGUACUCUGGGGAUAACAGGCUGAUAGCGCCCAAGCGUCCAUAGCGACGGCGCUGUUUGGCACCUCGAUGUCGGCUCAUCACAUCCUGGGGCUGAAGAAGGUCCCAAGGGUUCGGCUGUUCGCCGAUUAAAGUGGUACGCGAGCUGGGUUCAGAACGUCGUAAGACAGUUCGGUCCUUAUCCUCCGCAGGCGCAGGAUAUUUGACAGGAUCAUUCCCUAGUACGAGAGGACCGGGAAUGACUAACCUCUGGUGUUCCAAUUGUCGCGUCAGCGGCAUUGUUGGGUAGCUAAGUUGGGAACGGAUAAGCGCUGAAAGCAUCUAAGCGCCAAGCCCACCUGAAGACUAGAUAUCCCUAAUGCGUUAGCAUUCUGAAGGCUGGUCGAAGACUACGACCUCGAUAGGCUGGAGGUGUAAGCACAGUAAUGUGUUCAGCUUACCAGUACUAAUCAGCCGUGAGGCUUAACCAC
rnacentral:rRNA from 2 species